rnacentral:rRNA from 1 species
GACGAGCGCUGGCGGCGUGCUUAACACAUGCAAGUCGAACGGAAAGGCCCUGCUUGCAGGGUACUCGAGUAGUGAACGGGUGCGUAACGCUUGGGUGAUCUGCCCUGCACUUCGGGAUAAGCCUGGGAAACUUGGUCUAAUACCGGCUAGGAGCCAUUUUUCGUGUUAUGGUUGGAAAGUUUUUUCGGUGUGGGAUGAGCUCGCGGCCUAUCAGCUUGUUGGUGGGGUAAUGGGCUACCAAGGCGGCGACGGGUAGCCGGCCUGAGAGGGUGGACGGCCACAUUGGGACUGAGAUACGGCCCAGACUCCUACGGGAGGCAGCAGUGGGGAAUAUUGCACAAUGGGCGCAAGCCUGAUGCAGCGACGCCGCGUGGGGGAUGACGACCUUCGGGUUGUAAACUCCUUUCGCUAGGGACGAAGCUUUUUGUGACGGUACCUAGAUAAGAAGCACCGGCUAACUACGUG